GAUGCAACUAAGGAACAGAUUUAGAAGUACGCAGAGAGCUACGAUUUUGGCCGAUACCAUUUCUUUAGUUUUUUGUCUGAAAUGUUGAUCAAUGUAGCAAGAAAGUUUUUGAAUUGGCAACAGUGGGGUGACUAUUGUUAACUGUAAACGUGCAGACAUGAUCUGAUGGGCUGGUCUAUCAGUCAAACCUGUCUCACAGCAGAGCAGAGGAGAAAAGUUGUUGAUUUUUUAAUAUUUGCU